AACGAACGCUGGCGGCAGGCUUAACACAUGCCAGUCGAACGCCCCGCCAGGGGAGUGGCAGACGGGUGAGUAACGCGUGGGAACAUACCCUUUUCUACGGAAUAGCUCUGGGAAACUGGAACUAAUACCGUACACGCCCUACGGGGGAAAGAUUUAUCGGGGAAGGAUUGGCCCGCGUUGGAUUAGCUAGUUGGUGGGGUAAAGGCCUACCAAGGCGACGAUCCAUAGCUGGUCUGAGAGGAUGAUCAGCCACAUUGGGACUGAGACACGGCCCAAACUCCUACGGGAGGCAGCAGUGGGGAAUAUUGGACAAUGGGCGCAAGCCUGAUCCAGCCAUGCCGCGUGAGUGAUGAAGGCCUUAGGGUUGUAAAGCUCUUUCACCGAUGAAGAUAAUGACGGUAGUCGGAGAAGAAGCCCCGGCUAACUUCGUG
rnacentral:rRNA from 1 species